rnacentral:rRNA from 1 species
GUCUCAAAGAUUAAGCCAUGCAUGUCUAAGUACAAACUAAACUAAAGUGAAACCGCGAAUGGCUCAUUAAAUCACACCUAAUCUACUAGAACAUUAGCAGUUACUUGGAUAACUGAGGUAAUUCUUGAGCUAAUACAUGCGAAAAAUCUCGACUCACGAAGAGAUGCUUUUAUUAGACCAAACCAAACAGCUUCGGCUGUAUUACUGGUGACUCUGAAUAACCUCGUGCUGAUCGCAUUGCCUUGAGCAGGCGACGUUUCUUUUGAAGGUGUGCCCUAUCAACUGUCGACUGUGAUAUAGCCGCUCACAGUGGUUUUGACGGGUAACGAGGAAUCUGGGUUCGAUUUCGGAGAGGGAGCCUUAAAAACGGCUACCACAUCCAAGGAAGGCAGCAGGCACGCAAAUUACCCAAUUAUCGAAGAUAGAGGUAGUGACGAAAAAUAACAAUACCAGACUCUUCCGAGGCCUGGUAAUUGGAAUGAGUACACUUUAAAACCGUUUCACGAGGAUCCAUUGGAGGGCAAGUCUGGUG